CUACGGGGGGCUGCAGUGGGGAAUAUUGGACAAUGGGGGAAACCCUGAUCCAGCAAUGCCGCGUGUGUGAAGAAGGCCUGCGGGUUGUAAAGCACUUUCGGUUGGGAGGACUGCUUCUAGCACUAAUAUUGUUGGAAGUUGACGUUACCUUCAGAAGAAGCACCGGCUAACUCCGUGCCAGCAGCCGCGGUAAUACGGAGGGUGCAGGCGUUAAUCGGAAUUACUGGGCGUAAAGCGCGCGUAGGCGGCUAGAUCAGUCGGGUGUGAAAGCCCCGGGCUUAAACUGGGAACUGCAUCCGAUACUGUCUAGCUUGAGUACAGGAGAGGAGAGUGGAAUUCCACAUGUAGCGGUGAAAUGCGUAGAUAUGUGGAGGAACACCAAUGGCGAAGGCAGCUCUCUGGCCUGAUACUGACGCUGAGGUGCGAAAGCGUGGGGAGCAAACAGGAUUAGAUACCCGCGUAGUC
rnacentral:rRNA from 1 species